rnacentral:rRNA from 1 species
AGUUUGAAUCCUGGCUCAGGACGAACGCUGGCGGCGUGCUUAACACAUGCAAGUCGAACGGAAAGGCCUCUUCGGAGGUACUCGAGUGGCGAACGGGUGAGUAACACGUGGGUAAUCUGCCCUGCACUUCGGGAUAAGCCUGGGAAACUGGGUCUAAUACCGGAUAUGACCACGGAACGCAUGUUUUGUGGUGGAAAGCUUUUGCGGUGUGGGAUGGGCCCGCGGCCUAUCAGCUUGUUGGUGGGGUGACGGCCUACCAAGGCGACGACGGGUAGCCGGCCUGAGAGGGUGUCCGGCCACACUGGGACUGAGAUACGGCCCAGACUCCUACGGGAGGCAGCAGUGGGGAAUAUUGCACAAUGGGCGCAAGCCUGAUGCAGCGACGCCGCGUGGGGGAUGACGGCCUUCGGGUUGUAAACCUCUUUCAGCAGGGACGAAGCGCAAGUGACGGUACCUGCAGAAGAAGCACCGGCCAACUACGUGCCAGCAGCCGCGGUAAUACGUAGGGUGCGAGCGUUGUCCGGAAUUACUGGGCGUAAAGAGCUCGUAGGUGGUUUGUCGCGUUGUUCGUGAAAACCGGGGGCUUAACCCUCGGCGUGCGGGCGAUACGGGCAGACUGGAGUACUGCAGGGGAGACUGGAAUUCCUGGUGUAGCGGUGGAAUGCGCAGAUAUCAGGAGGAACACCGGUGGCGAAGGCGGGUCUCUGGGCAGUAACUGACGCUGAGGAGCGAAAGCGUGGGGAGCGAACAGGAUUAGAUACCCUGGUAGUCCACGCCGUAAACGGUGGGUACUAGGUGUGGGUUUCCUUCCUUGGAAUCCGUGCCGUAGCUAACGCAUUAAGUACCCCGCCUGGGGAGUACGGCCGCAAGGCUAAAACUCAAAGGAAUUGACGGGGGCCCGCACAAGCGGCGGAGCAUGUGGAUUAAUUCGAUGCGACGCGAAGAACCUUACCUGGGUUUGACAUGCACAGGACGCCGGCAGAGAUGUCGGUUCCCUUGUGGCCUGGUGUGCA